rnacentral:siRNA from 1 species
UUGGAGUUCAAUGGAGAGAU